AAAAUAAAAGAGCAAAGAAUAAGCUAUACCUUGAAGGCUUGAAGUUUGAACAAUUGCAAUGUAAGUUCUAUUAAUUUUUCUUGUUUAUCAUAGAUUUGUGAAAUUUAGGUUUUAAUUUUAAUUAGAAAAUCUGUAAUAAAUCAAGUGAAUCUGUGUUCGGAUUUUGUUACUAUUUUGCGUGAAUUAUGAAGUUUAGGUUCUCGUGAACUAUUUGAUAGAUUGAAUUUGAAAGAAAAUUCAUGGAAAAAGAAGAAUUACUUGCCCUAAGACAGGAAAAUUUUAUGACAAGGAGAAAAUUGGGUGGAAAUAUUUUCCACAAUAAGUUACUAAAUAUAACCUUAAAGUGAAUUUACUCAUCAACCUCAAACUUCUAUAGACUCAUCAUCACUAGAAAAAGAAUGCAAAAUUUUAUAGUUUAAUGUUUUCAGUACGUCCACCCAAAACUUUUAACUCUAGUAAGUAGAUAGUGAGUAGUGACUCUAUCAAUGUUAGUUUUUUUGCAAGUUAUUUUAGGUUUAAAAUUUACAAUUAUAACUGUCAAUGCUAUAUACACUUUACAGCGAAAGCAAAAUACAACCAAGAAUAGCAGUUAUAUCUCUACUUAUAUUGAUUUGAAACUAUAUACUGAUCUUUUUUUCUUUUCUUUUUUUUUUCUGUUUAUCUGCCAAUUUUCGCAUGACAAGUAGGCACAAAAGAUAAAUAACAUGGUUUUAUCAAUCAUACAUUUUAUUCAAGUGGUGUAUUGAUUUGAUGUGAUGAAAGCUAUAGAAGUAAAUUUCUCGGCAAUAGAUCUACGAUAUCUAGAUUUCUGCUACUUUAGUUAUAUCAUUAUAUGUACUAAAUCUGAGUUAUUCUCUUUGCAGUAUCAUUGAUGUAAUGUUAAGAAUGCAUGGUUUUAUUUCGUGAGCUAUUCUACAGGUCCACACACCAAUAAAUGUCGGGAAUAUUAACUUCUACCGACAUUUGCUAUUGUUUGUUGAUAUUAUGUUAUAACUUAUAAGUAUACACUAAUACACAGUAUGCAAUUACUAGUCUUUAGGUUUCUAUAUGUAGCACUCAAUUUUUAUUAGAAAUGACAUCUAUACUAUACUCACAUAGUAUGUGUAACACAGCAUACACCAUCUAUACUAUACAUUUCUUUUCUUUUCACAAGUUAGCAUCAUAUUAAUAACAGCAUGUACAUUAUAGUUGAGAUGUUGGUCAUACAAACUAAUUCUGUUUGUUAUACACUGCAAACAACCGUAUUACAAUGCUAGCUGCCCAUUGCACAUGGUAGUAGAAAAUAAGGAUAGCAAUGUGAUUUCUUACCAAGCUAUUUCUUUUGCUAGUUGCUGCUGUUGCAACCAUCAAUCCAUUAUUUCAAGCUAGAGGGAUCAUAACUUUGAAGCUCUGAAGUUUUCCUCGAUUAUGUAUUUCUCGCUUUAGGUACUCAUGGUCCACAAUCUAGCUUUCUUAUUAAGACAUUGUGCCAAAGAAUGUCGAUAUCCAUCCAUUUUAUACAAAAAUUGGAGGGAGUUGCUAAUCUGGUGUUUCCCUUAUUAGAUAAGUGGUUUAAAUAACUGUUAUGCCUGUUGUUACUUGUUAGGCUCAUUACUUUGUUGUUUCUUAGUAUUGAUUUUAUUAUUCAUUGCUAAUAAUGUACAUCCCAAUAGGUAAUAUAAAUAUAAUGUUCAAUGAUAGAAUACGACUCUUAGAAAUUUUGAAUGAUAAAUAAUACAUCCUUUAAAGCGCAAUGCUAUAAACAAAAAAGCUGAACAUCAUGAAUAAGCUCAAUGAAAAGACUUGCCACCCAACUGUAUCUUAAAUCAAAUCAUUAAGUCAUUAAUCCUGACAUAUCAUACGUUGAGUCGCUGAUAAACAAAAAAGUUCAUGAUCUCUUUUAGACCUCUUCGCAGUUAUCUCAUUUUGUAUGAAAGUAUAUUAUGCAGGCAAGACAAAACAUGAAAUCCAAGAAGAGAAGAAAAACUGCCAAUGGUAUGGUUGUGUAGGGCGCAUCUAUACCACUAACAAGCCUCAACAAGGUUGCGUGUCUUGUCCUUGGGCUUGCCCAGAUUAUAAAUGGUGGGGUGUAUCAUGCUAAAGAAGAAGGUAGAAGAAGGCUGGAGGUUGCAGCCAUUAGAGUUUAAAAGGAACAAAGAAUGUAGAGGAAGGAUGAAGGAAUGAAAGAGGACUGCAGGUUGCUGCAGUAUUAAGAAGAAGAAAAAAAAACAUAGAAAGAUUAACACGAAAAGAUACCUGUAUAAUGAGGAAAGACUCCUCUCCAUAUAUAUACGCACACUCUACAAAGAAAAGAAAUUGAAGAGAUGAAAGUCGUAGUAAGCCUUGUGUACAUGGAGACAUUCUUGUGAUGCAUUUGAUAUCAAGCGAUCCCUGCCCUCAUUUAGUGCCUUGGUUUAUGCACAUGAUACACCUAAGGACCUUGGGCUUCCCUGAGUGAAUGACCUUGCUUAGAUGUCAUAGAGAUGCACUGACCUCUGCUUGUUCAAUGUAAUGCCUCGGGCUAGAUCCUAUCUUUUUUUACUAUAUUGUUAAUAACUAAAAAUAAAUAACAAGGUUUCACUGAAUAACCUAAGAAAAAGGGAUGAUGAGGGACUGGUAUAACAUAACUGCCAUGGGAUUACAACCUGAACAAGAGUAAUCCAAUAAGAGACUAAGAGCUUCUGUGAAGUGAGGUAUUGUUUUUUUCCUGAUCUGAACAAAUUAUAAAAUUUGUAAUUUGUUAGGUGUGUCAUCUGUUAGAAUUUAUUACUGACAAACUUUCAGUUAUUUGAACAAAGCCAAGGCAUUUCCUUUGCUAAUAUGAAAGGAAACCACUACUUGCUGAACAACUGGCACAUCAAGUAGAUUUAUUGCUGGUUAGACACAAUUUUUAAUAUGUUACUGUGUUAAUAUUGAAAGAGUACUGGGCAGAGUCUUAGCUUGUUCGGACUGCAAGCAAGAGAAUCUUGCUUUAUCUAGAGAAAAUAGAUUCAGAAUGGCUGUAUAUAUGGGGUGGUUAUUCACAAGUUCAAAAUAUAGUCUUACUUUACAGGUGGUGGCUUCUGAAUCAAGAUGAAACAAUAAAACAUUUUCUGUAAUAGUGCAAUGACAAUAUAGUAAAGGACACCUCCUGAAUAUUUCCAACUAUAUUUGAACUAGGAAUUCUUGUUUUUAUGGUUUUAUGCAGUGUACUUGACCUUUUCUUGGUUGCAUUCCUUGGUAUGUCAGAGUAAAUGGAUAUUAUUUGGGUAAAGGAUGAAAUGGAUGCUUCAUUAUUAAUUAGUUGAUACUGAAGAAAGUUUAUGUAGUCCAUGACAAUAGUUUUCAACUUUUCAUCCUCCUAGAUUUUAUCUAGUGACUAGUGGUGCUUCACCUAAAUAAGAAAUAGAAGUUUAGAGAUACCCCCAAUGAUGUCGGUGUACUAUUUGUGUUACUUCCUUGUUUCACUUUUUCCGGCGUGUGUUUGUUUGUGUAUAAAUUAGUAUUACCCUCUAUUUCACAGCCAAACUGUUGUUUCUAAUAACCGAAGUGCCUAUUUUACCAUUGUUUCGCCCUUUCAAUUAUGGUAUGUUUAAUAUUGUAAAAGAAUAACAAGAAGUGAAAAUAAAUGAAGAAUAGGAGACCAUUUUGGACAAUUCAGCUGUGUAUGAUCAUGGACUAAGGAGUCAUAGUAUAUAACAAAAAACAGGGGGUUGGGUACGUCUAUAUUGCUUAAAGGUAUGUUCUAAUUGAUGUACUUACUAUUUGUUUAAGUACAUUUUUUUUGUUCUUAAAUUAUUAUGUAAAAUAUAUGAGUUGAUCUUGAACGUUUAUUUGGGAUUUAGGUUACCAUUCACAGAACAGAUUUGAGAAUAGUUUCAACUUACCUUGGAUUUCAUUUGUUUAUGUACGAAUCCAGUAUUGAUAUACGAGUAGGCAUGGAGUUGGUACUUGAAAACAGUGAUGGCGAAUGAUGAGUAGACCACCAUACUCAGUUGAAUCUUAAUACCUUGCAGAUGUAGGGCGUGAUUUGUCCUCCAGAUGUGGCGUAUAUGCAAGAUCAUGAACAUUCUGAAACCAUAGAAAAUUAGAUUGCAAAGAGUAUUCCAUAUUGGAAUGUUAUAUGUAUUUACGUCGGGGAAAAGAUAUUUACACUCUUCCUAAUAGGCCAUAACAACAGUAGAUUCAGAGAAAAUAAAUAAAUAAACGAAAUGGCUUUAAAGCUUCCCUGUUAACUCAAGGAAGUUUUCUUGCAUCACUGUUCUCAAACAAAGAACACAGCCCUAAUAGUUUGUCACUAGACUUGGCAAAAUAAUUGCAUUCAAAUGAGAGUAAGAAUUUUGAGUAGCUCCCAUGGACAUGGAACAGUCUCUCCAGGAUUGUUUUGGUGUGAGUGAUACCUUCCUGUUUGAGCAUAGGUGCGAGGUGCUUCUUUUGGACUUGUGCAUAGCGCAACUGCAGUUGCGGUGGUAAGGCCUCCUUUCUAUCUCUGUGUCAGACAUGGAUAUGCAUCCUUCAUAGACACAGUGAAGCAAUACCCCCACAACUUCAGUGUUCAUUCACUCAGGCACUCACUUACUUUAAUUUGUGUAUGUGUUUUUGUGUGUGUGUGUGUGUGUGUGUGUGCAGGCAGUUAGUGCAAUUGACGCUUUCUUGAAAAUUGUUAGAGUUUAUAUAGAAGGGUGGAAGUGAAGGUACGGACAAGUUUUGAUGUCUUCAAGGAAAAUAUCACCAUGGAGUACUCCGCUAUGGAAUCAGAGAAGAGAGUUGUCUUGAUUCGGUGAUUAAUGACUUUCCAUGGGCGUAAAAAUAAAGAGAGGUGUUGAGAUGGAAAGUAAAAAGUAAGAAAGUUUAAAAUUGCACUUAGGAAUAAAAGCCUAGAGAAAGUGUUGGAAUCAUACUUCAGAAAAAACGAAAAGAUUAUUCUAUGGGGUUCUUGUACAAAGUUAUAAUAACUAUGUUGGCGUAUGAAUCCACGUCGCGUUAUCUUUGACUGAAACUUUAUUCUUGGUGAUAUUCCAUCGAAGUGGACCUAUUGUUAUUCCAUCAUAGAUGUUAGUGUUUAAACUUUAAAUUUGAGGGCGGGAAGUCUCUUGGUGACCAAUUCGAUGUUUCCAAGGAAUAUGGAAAUGUGGAGAAACUUGGAACAAGAGAAGUGUAAUUUCUUGACUAUCAAGUACUUUUCUCUCUCCAUAAAAUAAAACAAAAGAAACACAUGUUUGAAGAUUAAAAAACAGAAUUUAGAUGUGUGAAUGCAACGUAGGAUGAAAAUUUGAAGAGAAAGAAGGAAAUUGGUAUCCUAAUUGAGAAAUUUGGAAAAGGUUGGUUAUUUCUAGAAAUCUGUGUUAUGGGUUGAAUCACUAGGAUAUCAUCUUAUUCCAAAUUUUAUGAAUAUCCCGCGUCAUAAGGUUAUAUUGGCAUCGAGCCCACCACUCAGUUCUUGGUGUCUCAUGAUCACUGUAUUGUAGAUAAGUGGGGGAGAGAGAAAGAAAUUGGUUUGGCGAUACAGUAAUUGGUGUUUUGUAAUCACUUCUGCAUUCAAUAAGAUAGAUAAGAAUUCACAAUCACUGAUUAUCAGAUAGAGAGAUCUUCCUUUAAAAACCGAGUUAUGUUUGAGGUGUGCUGAAAUUUAUUGCAUUAACAUUAUACUUUUGAGACUUUAUGAUAUAGCAAUGCAACUUGUAAAAAUUUGGUUACAGCCCCGAGUAAUGAAUUUUACUAGCGUAGUCAGUCAGUAUCAUAUAUUAUAUUAUUAGAAGAAGAACACUACUAGUGUCAUAUACUCAUUAUAUAAUCAAGCUUCAUAUUAGAAUUUGGUUCUUACCAUUAAGGAGCAGUGAAGAAGAUUACAUAUAUGCAUGCUGAUAUUUCAAAAGGUGAUAUCGCUUUCUGAUGUUUCAGACUCUCUUCUUUUUGAGAUAAUCAGUCUAUUAAAAAUGCAUUGUGCGGGUAUUCAGGGUCUUGUAAUGAUGCAAGUUCCUUACAACACUAUCAUCUUAGACUUUCGACACACUCUAUAGAAACUUGAUAUUUUUAAUUAGUAUUUUAAUUAGUUAGGUAAGAUGCUGGUGCUUUAUUUUUCAGUUAUUUUUAUUAUAUUUAAUACCCAGAUCGACAGUGUUAUUGUAGUCUGAACUGAGCGAAUUAGACAAGUUUUUUUUAUUGGCAGUUGUAUCGUGAAAAUAAUUGCCAUGGGGUUGUUAGGCUUAGAUUUAGUAGAUUCUUUCGAUAUGUAUUAUAUAGCAUAUGAAGCUAUAAAAUACUUAAAAAUAGAUACUUAAUGAAAGGACUCUUGAAUAAUUUAAUAUUUGCGCAAGAUUGUUUGGUUGAAAUGUAUGAAGUAGUUUCUUUGAGGCUGACAGUUAUUUCUAAUUGCAGCCCUGAAAACCCAACUAAAUCUGGAAAACUUCUCCAGCUGCACCUUAUUACAGGUUUGAAUUCUUUGCAUUGAAAAUAUGAUUACUCUCUGCUGUGUAAAAUUAUAUCCGCAUAACUCUGCCGAUUAGUGAGAUUUACUAUUGUACCAAGUAGGACUGUUACAGAUUUAUCCUAUAAGCAAGUGUACAGAAGGAAUAUGAUAUAAUUGUGUUAAUUAUAUCGUGUAGCAGAUAGCUGUGUCUUGAAGGACCAAUUGUUUAAAACUCAGAUUGUUAACAUUCUGUUUUCUCCAUUUGCAGGAUGCUAAAUUUGCCAAAUUGCCAAUCUCACAUGAGGUGGUUCUGACACUAGCGAACCAAUUUCUCAGGUGAGACUAUGGUCUUUACUCUUAUGAAAUUUCAAGGUGUGGUAGAUUAGUAUUACCAUCACCAUCACUUUCUUCCUUUUUUAACCAAACCCAUUUAAUUUCCUUAUAUGGUUUUGAUAAGACCAUUUCAUGGUUAUGCUUUCAACCAUCGUGAUCUCUGGCACCAUAUUUACAAUGUGACCAUUAGGAAAGUACUGUUACAAUAUCCAUAUUUAAGAGUAACAGUUUAAAUAGCAUUCCUCAGUGUUGGGUUAAUUUUCUGCAAAGUAUCUUCUCAGCAAUCAAACACACCAAUCUUUACAGACGAAAUUGAAAGCUGAAAAUAUAGACCGCACAAGCAAAAUCAUAUAUAGGUGACUCAGAAUUAAGCCUUACCCUAAGUUGCUAUAUUCUUAUUCACAUAUGGCUAGUUUAAAAGUGUGUGAAAGAGGUGAAGAAUUGUUAAAAAGCGGUUAUGAUGCUAGAUUGUAGAAUCUCAAAUGGUUAUUAAGCAGACUUUAGUUGUUUUUAUUGGUUUUUAAGCGAAUUCUGUCAAGCAGUGGUGUUUAGAGAUGAACGCGCUCGUGAGGAGGGAAGGUUAAAAAGUUUCUAUUGGCUUUACAAAUAAAAAGGAAGCUUGAAAAUUUCCAUUCUGGGCUGAAAUAUUCAAUUUCUUGUUAAGGAUCUGCAAAUAAGAACCAAAUAGAUGGAAGAGGAGGAAGAGGAAGAGUAAGGAUGCCACAAAGUAUUCUACUUUGCAACAAGAAAAGAUUUGGCAGCAAUUACCUACCUCUAUUUUUGUGUAUCCCAUCUCCUAGGAACAUAAGGAUUGCCUCCUCUGAAGAUUGCCAAGUUCAGCUCUAACAUAUCUUCAUGUCUCGUGCCACCUUAUGAUCUUAGGUCUCUGCUGUUCAGCUCACAAUUUACAGACUAUCAUGAUGUGGGUGGAUUCUUCAGACCCAAGUAUAGAUUGUUAGGCCUCCAUCCAAGAUACUGGGGAUGUUGUCAAAGUUUCUUAGUAUACAAUCUCUCAACUAUGCUCCAAAGAAUCCACCUUAUAGAUGAAGCUACCAAUCUAAGAAUAAAACAAACCUAUCUCGCAAUGUAUGCAUGGAUUUUCUCAGCUUGACCAACAAUGUGAAGUAAGAGUCUUUGCAUACCUCGACAAUGAACAACAUUCUAGCCACGUUCUAAGAAACAACACAUAUCUACCUUGAAAUCUUCACCAUAAUAUAAAAUUGUUUUUCUUGUCGUUUAUUAUGUAGUCCUUUUUAGUGAUGUUGCUUUUGAGGAUUCUUUGGAUUGUGCCCAUGCUCUUUUUUAUAUGGGAUCUUCACAUGGUUCUGUAGUUUUUGUCAUAUAGCUUGCAUGAAUACGCAAUAUAUUUUUAUCUUGGGUAAAUGUACACAAUGUUUUUUACAGAUAUAUUAGAAAUGUAUAAUUCUAGGUGUUCAAUAUAGAGUUUAGUUUACAUGAGUAAAAACCAAUGUAUGUGUUUUUUAGAAGUGAAUGUGAAUCAUUCUAGGUGUGGUAAGUAGAGUUCACGUUGGAUAAAAACAAUGUGAGUGCACUCAAAUAUUGUAAGGAAAGUACUUGGUCUGAGUUUUGGCAAAGUAAAUCCAGACUGAAUAAUGAGUAUCAACUCCUCGAACUAUUACUCAUUUUAUAAUCCGUCCCGUUUUUGAAAUAGAUGUAACCGAUGUGAUAACUUCAGAUUGGAAAAGGGUAAGGAAUGAAGUUGAAGUGAACAAACCUACUAGCUUAGUAGAAUUACCUCUUGGUGGUGGGAAUGCACUAGAUAUGAACAUGUGAAUGUGUCUCAAUUCCUAUGUGUACCAUCAGUAUUGAUUGUGGGGGAGUAAUACAUGCCUUCAUCAUGUCUGUAUACCUGAAUGAUAAUAAAUGUAUAUAUACAACAAUAAUAUUUUAAAGAAGAAUAAUAAGCUGUAAUGGCGAGUCAAAAAUCUAUUGAGUUUCAUGUUGUAAAGAAAGGGUGAAUAUAUCCUCUAGACCAUUUGAUCCUAAAAAAGCAUCCAGUAUAUGGUGUAGUGGAAGAAAUCUCUAUGUACAAUUAACUUCCAUCCAUCCCAUCUUAUCCUAUAAACUUUUACAUGACUUACUUUCAGCCAUACAAAACGAACCCAUAUAUGUUGUGUCUACCCUAGUUGAUGCAACUGAAGGUGAAGAAGAUACAUUCUUAGCGGAGUAAUGAUUGCCAUCCAUUGACAAGGAACAUUCCUUCCACAACUGUUUGAUUGGGACAGAUAUCAUUCUUCUUUGAGGACAUAGGUUGGAGCAAUUUUUAUUGGAUCUGUGUAAGGCACAAUUGCAGUUUUUGUGAUAUGGUCUUCGUUCGAUCUCCAUAUCAGACAUUGAUAUGCUUCCAUUAUACACACAUUGAAGUAGUGCUCCUGCAACUUUACUCUCCAUUUUCUAUUUCACUCACUUGCACCGUAACUGUAAUGUGAUUGUUUGUGUAAGAAGUGAGAAUAGUCUGUAGUUGUGUAUGGAUGUAUUGAUGUUUCUUCAGAGUCGUUGGUGCUUAAAUAGGAAGGCGGGAAUGUUCUUGGUGAAAAAAUUGAUGUUCGCAAGGAAUAUGUUAACGUAAAGUACUAAGCAUAGAAUAAAAGAGGUCUGCUGUCUUGACUAUUCUUUACUUUUGGCCUUCGAUGAAUUAAAAUUAAAGAAAGGUUUAGUGAAUAGAAAACAAAAUGAUAAAUCUGCAAAUGCAACAUAGGAAUAAAAGUUGUUGAGAGAGAAAGAAAUUGGAAUCUAACUUGGGUAAUGAGGGGUGAGUUACUUCUAAAAAAAAAUAUGUGUGAAUUGAUGAUCACUAAACUAUCCUCCUAUUCAACGUUUUAUAAAUUAUCUGUAUUGUAAAUUUGUAUUGUUAUGUUGACUUCACCACUCAGUACUUGUUUAUUUGGGGUUACCUAGGCGUGCUUUGAAUUUAAAUCAUGGAUACGUAUAUUGGCACAUUGUUAUGAUACAUUUUUAUAUUUAAGUACUUUUCUUACAUGGAUGAUUCAGUGGCAGCCUUUUGCUUUGAAAAUAAAAAAAAUGUUUACUGUGGAUUGAAUGUGAUUAUUUCCUAUCAUCAAAUUUACUGAAGUGUAAAGGUAGAAAAUCUGUUUAGUAAGACAUCAUUAUUCUGCGGUAAGCCCAUCCACAUUUAUGGAGAGGACUUCCACAUGUGGUACCUGGAAUUCUGGAAGCAAUCAACUUUUCACUUUUAAAGGUUACAGAUAGUUGUUUGGAGAGUCCAGUGAUGGUUGAGUUUGUAGUUGCUACAAACAAAUAAAAUUAAUGAAAAUAAAACGUUGCCCUAAAAAGUAGUUUGUUGGUGGGAGGCAGCAAAAAAUAAAAUUGCUAGCAUAGGGAGCAGUUGUGUCUACCCACUAAGGUGAUACUAUUGAGGAGUAGUGAAAGAAGAAUAUUAUAAGAAGCCUGCUGGUUAUAAUGUGUAAUAUGUUGCAGCUAUUUUAAUAAUUAGUCGUUUCAAUUAUGCGUUGUUCACCAUUUUAAUGAUCUUAAUUCUGCUAGUUCCUACAACCUUUUCGGCUUAGAAUAUGGAGGAUUGUAAUUCCCCAGGCACCAGUGAUUAAAUUCCUGUGUCAUUGGCUGUUCACUAUCAUAUUUGGGAUGAUAACAUAACCAAAGUGGUUCUUUCAUGAUACCUAUCCUGCCGUUAUAUACUUAUAUCAAUCUUAAAUUUGAUUCUAGGAUCCCAUGUGGAAAUUAUACACUUAUGAAAUCUAAUGAUCUUUCUCAUUGGGAAACAAUGAAACAUGAAGCUGGUCUUUUGCAAUAUUUAUUAGAGCAUCUGCAAGUAAUAAUUUAUUAAGAGCUCUAGAGUACUUUUGUUGAACUCUACCAUAGUACUAAUUUUCAUAUGGGACUCAAUUCGCCACUUUUUCAUGAAAGGCGAUUUGUUACUUUUAGGGAAAACAUUUUUUCAUAGAUUUCACAUCUUCCAGUGGGUGGUGGAUGAUGCCGGAAUGGUGUUUGGGGUUCAGAUCGUGGAUCUUAAUGUUCGGAUUAGCGAAUCUGGGUUCCCAAAGUAUACUAUUUAAAGUAGUAAGUGAUCCGACUACAAACAGCAAAUUCUGUGGGUUUAAAGUGGCAGUCAAAGAAACAAGGUGUUCCAUGAGGAGAAAUUAUGGCUUUUCUCAUCAGGCCAAAAUGUAAUUAUUUUGAUUCAUUCAUGCAAAUCAAGUUAAGGUCAUCCUCCAGUUCACUUGAAUUUGUAGAAUGCAAUGUCUCAAGAAAUUGAAUAAGAAAGAAAAAUUCCCGUAACAAUUAAAGCUUCCAAGAAAACCUUGAAGGACUGUCCGGAUCAUAAAAUAAUAGAUGAAAGAGUAUUUUGGGAUGCCAAAAUGUUUCAUUUUCAAAGCUUUUAUAAGAAUGACAACUUUCUACCUACCUUUUUUGUGUGUUUUCCAUUCAAGGGUUUCUCCUGGGAAGAAUGCUAAUUCAGCUCUGUGACAUAUGUUUGCAGCCUCUGGUCGUUCGCAUUCAGCAUGUAUCCAUUGAUAGGUAAAGACGAGUCUUCAUCUCCCAAUGCCUUUGGUACCUUAUUGGAUGAACUACCUGUUGCCUGUGCUCGAGUGGCUAUGCCUUGUUAAACAGGUAUCCAUCAAGAAGCUUCUCAGCGUGAUCAUCAAUGUUGAAGAACAGUCGAUCCGUUUCAUGACUGAAGGUAUGGCAUUCAAUUACUACAUGCUAAAAAUCUUGACCAUAAUAAAUGUCCAUUUUCUUGUCUUUUAUCAUCUUAUGUCUUUAUGGUCCUGUUAUGAGAUUUUUCUUGAUUCUUACCUUGAUUUUUUGUAUAAAAUCCAUCCUCUUUUCUAUUCAUUUAUGUCUUAGCUACAGAACUAGCAUAUUCUUUCCACUAAUGUAUAUGUAAUGCAUUAUUAUUAAUAUUAUUUUUAAUUUCUUACGUUGUGUUGGUACAAGACUGUUUGUUAGAACAAGUCCUCUCAUUUGUAUUCUAGUGAGUUUCAUUUGACAAGAACAAUGCUAGACUCAGUCUGAGUUUAGCCAAACACUCAAAUAUAGUAGUUUCUGAACUCAUGAAUCGCUCAAGUGAGCUGAAACAGAGUAGGACUCACCUUAGAUUUUUGGUCCUUUUCUUGCAACGGGCCCAACUAAUAUGGUAAUGCAGCUUGGAAGAGGGUAGGGUAUGUAGUAUGAAAGGUAACCAGACCUACCUGUUCAACAUUUAGACUGAGUAAUCUAAUGGCUUAGGAAGUCUGGAGUAUUGAUUUGUGUCUAACUUCCAAUAUGUGUACCAACAGGAUAGCUUGUUGUGGAGGAUGAUUACUCUUCAUCAUGUCUGUUUGUUUACCUGUGUGAACAUAUAUACAUAGAUUACAACCAAAAGCAAAGAAGUAGACUGUAAGAGUGUGACAACUGUAUUAAAUUUUAUGGAGAAAUAAUGGGUACGUUCAUCCUCUAGUCCAUUGAAAUCUAGAGAAGCACCCAGUAAAUAUGGAAGAAUCAUUCUCUAAAUACAACAACUUCCACCCAUUCCUGCUAAAACUGUGAACUCUUCGUUGAAUCAUUCUCAAUUCUACAACAGAAACUCAAUGAUGUUGUUUCUAUCUUUCUCAAUGUACUGAGGAUGAAAGGGAAGACUGAGAGAGUAAUGAGUGCCUUCAUUUCAGAAGGAACAUUUCCUCCACAGCUGUUUGGUUGGGACUGACAUCUUUCUUCUUUGAGGACAUAGGUUGGAGCAUCCUUGUUGGACUAGUUCUUGUGGAAUGGUCUUGUUUCUAUUUCCAUAUCAAACAUUGAUAUGUUUCCAUUGUAAAUGCAUGGAAGUAAUGUUCGUGCAACUCCGGUCUCCAUUCUCUCUUUCACUCAUUUGAUAACUAACCGUAAUGUGAUUGUUACAUUAGAGUGAGAGAGUACGGGUUGUGUGUAUCUGAAGUGGGAGAGUAUGGGGGAUGUAUCCCAGCUAAACCGAUGAACACUAUCUUGACUCACUUUCAACAAUACAACCCAAACCCAGUUGUGUCGGCUCUAUCCAUUUUAAUGCAGACACAGCUGAUUCAGAAGUCUGAGAGGAGUAAUGACUCCCUUUUAUUGACAAAGAACAUUCCUUCCACAACUGUUUGGUUGGAACAGAUAUCUUUCGUCUAUGAGGACAUAUGUUGGAGCUAUUCUUGGCGGUUCUGUGAAAGGCACAACUGCAGUUCUUGUGGUACGGUCUUCGUUCUAUUUCAGUAUCGAAUACUGAUAUGCUUCCAUUAUAGACACAUUGAAGUAGGGCUCCAGCAACUCCAGUCUCCAUUUCUUAGUCACUGCAAUGUGGUUGUGUAUUCUACUGAGUGAGUGAAAGUGUGUGUCUGUAGAUUAGUUUGUGUGGGUAACUGAUAUUCCUUCGAAGCUGUGAAGUGUUUAAAUAGGAAGGCGCGAAAGCUCUGGUGACAGAAUUGAUAUCACCAAGGAAUUUGUGACCGUUGAGUACUAAGCUCUGCAGUUAGAGAAGUCUCUUGUCUCAACUAUCGAGUUCUUUUGGCGUUUUUAUGAAUUUAAUUGUGGUUUAGUCCCAUUACUUCCAACAGUAACCUAAAGCAAGAUGUUGAAAUGCAACUUAGGAAUAAGUGCAGGAGCGAGGAAGAAAUUGGAACCUUACUUGGGAAAUAUGGAAGGAGUGUGUUACUAGAAAAGUUCAUUUUAGGGUCUGAUGAUCACGAAGUUUGCCUCUUAAUCAACGUUUUCUGAUUAUUUUAUAACUCUAAUAGUAUAUUAGUAUUGACCCGUCACUUUGUACUUGCUGUACUAUGUGGGAAUCUAUCUGAUGCACCACAGUAUUACCUAAAGUGAUCCUUGACUACGUAAGUGUAAUUGUUGCUUAUGUCACUUGAUUGUCAUUGAUGGAUAAGGAUGUGCAAUCAUAAAGAGUAAUUUUAUAGCAUAGUACAUUCUUAUCAUAUACUACAAAAUUUGUAGCUGGAAGAACACCAUCAUUGUCAUAAAUGUAGUCAAAACAUCUCUAAAUGCUGGCCAUUGAUCUGAUAAACUUUCUGAAAGAUCUAUGUUCUGGUUCUUUGUUUAUAUGAUGCUUGGCGAUUUUAGAAAGUGUUACUAUUUCAAUAUGUUGCAGCCAUUGUCAUACUAAAUCAUUUAACAUUGUAUACAUCAAUUCAUGAUGUUGUAGUCGUACUAGUUCUGUACAGGCAUGAAAGGAGUCUUUGAUAUCCCAGUCCUUUUGAUAUUUUUUAAUACCUCAAAAUUAUAAAUGUUUUAUACACUGAGAUAAAUGAUUGUUGUUGACAGUUAUAGAUGUUAAAUGGCCGUUGUAACUCUUUUCAAAUGUAUAAUAUAAUAAGCGAAUAUUAUAUUCUCUUUUCAAAUGUAUAAUAUAAUAAGUCGAACAUUAUAUUGAAUUUAAUAGUUGAUGUGUGGCCUUCGGAAUAGUUGAAUAUUCAUAAUAGUAUGUUUUAUGCUGAAUUGUUUAAUGAGUAUAAUUCUAGAUAUGAUAAAAAAAAACUUUAACACAAAUUCUGUUUAGUUAUUGCAGAUUGCAGCCAGAAAAUUCAUCAAAACCGGGAACAACCCUGUUGAUGUACGGUAGCACAAAGAUAUAUUUUUUUUAUGCUCUAGCAAUUAUGCCGAAACACCUCUGCAUAGUGAAAAUAGAUAUUCAGUUAAGCUACUGCAAAAAAUGCAGUGAAGUAUUAAUGGAGUUGAACUGUGGAUGUUUAAACCAUGCUGUUUACUGUUCUCUCCAUUUGCUGUCUAGGCUACCAAAGUAGAAUUGCGGGAUAUGCCGAGUUGUCUUAAUCUGUUGUCAGAAAUGGGGAGAUCUUUUACUUUAAAGCUGCACCAAUGUAACGUGAGAACAUACUGUUUACUCUAGUCCAUUCGAUGACUCAAGGUGAGGCCAGCUUUAUAUUUCUCCCACCUGUGAUUACCUGAACAACUUACAUACUAGUUGCACUUUGAACUGCUCUAGGCCUCCGGAACCAUUUUCAUACCAGUGAUCUUUAAAAUCAUUUUUGGGAUAAAAACCAGACUUGUGAUUCUUAAGUUUACACAACUUUUGUGGAAAAUAUAUUUUCAGCAACAAAAACAUACGAUUGCAUAAGAAGAAAAAAGAAAGAAUCAUAAACAGCACAUACUUGUUCCUGAAUACUUUGUUUCGCUCCUAAAGUUGGAUGCACUAAUUUCCAUGCACAUGGGAAUAGAGUGUGAAUUUAGUUCAAAGGCGUUAACAUGUAACUAUGUUCUUUAUCAAAUAGGAGUAAAUCCACCAGCUGCAGUUAUACUGGUCAAGAGUUGUUUUGAAAACAAAAACCCUUUUGUUGAAUUUUCACAUCUUCAAUAGGUGAUUGAUGAUACUUGGAAUGGUCACCUUGUUUGAGGUGGCUCCUUGGUGAAAGUGAUAGUGGGGUAGGUGUUCAAAAGGGGGAGGAGGGCUGUCCCAAAGUGGUCGGAAGAAAUAAGUAAUCUUCUGGGCAUUAUGGAAAGUUCCAGCCACACACUGAUGCACAUACCAAAAAGAAUAAGAUAAAACAAAUGAUUCUUAGAUGGAACUUGUCUAGCCGUAGAGCUUGGAGCCAUGUCUAAGAAACUUUGGUAGAUCCUGAGUGCGAAUCACAAACAAUAAGCUUUAACUGACAUAUCUGCUAACUCCACUCUCUCUGCACAAAUUUCUCAAAGGGUUAAGGAGACUAGGAUAGAGGUGCACAAAUCAUGGUUUAUGGAGUUUAACCGCCAGGCAAACAAUUAAAGGGUUAGGUUUCUCGUCAGGCCAAAGUGUAGAAGCAGUGUUUUGUGGAGUCUAACCGACAAGAAAAAUUGAAGGUGUGAGCUUUCUCAAUAGGCUAAAGUGUAAUUCUUUUAAUAUCUUGCAGUUCACUUGAACUGUACUCCGCAGUCUCAAGAAAAUUACCAAUGAAAAUACCUUUGUAGAUUGAGUGUUCUGAAGAAGUUUUCUAUGGACUAUGCAGAUCAUAAAUCCUUGGAAGAAGAAUUUGGGAUUGCAUUUCCACUUUUUUUGCAGCUUGUGCAGUGCUAUAAAAAAAAUAAAAAAAAACCUUAUACUUACCUCAUGUUCCUGCUUUCAUCCAAUGCACAAAAGAUACCACCUCUGAAAACUUCCAAGUACAGCCCUCUGACCUGUACUCUGUUGCUCAUGAUCCACCAACCUUAAGAUGUUGGCGGUUCUUGAAAUUCAUCAUUAAGAUAUAUGGAUGCCCUCGGAGUUUGAAAGCAUACAACCUUACCUCAUGGAGUAAAUUCGUACAGGCUGCAACUCAUAUAUGAUUUACUACCCCUUUUUAGACAGGUAUCCAUGAAGAAUUUUUCAGCUUGAUCAACAAUGUGAAAGAACAGUGUUUGUAUUUCUUGAAACUUGCAAACCAUUUAACUACUAAAAUGUAUGACAUUCUAGCCAACAUUGCUUAUUAGAUGUUCAGAAGCAAUGAAAUCUACCUUGAAAUCUUCGUCAUAAAAAUAAGUACUUCCCUUUGUCUUUAUCUGAUGCAUUUUCUUGAUUCUCCCUUCGCUUCUUUGAUAUCAAUUAUUUUGCUCAUUAUAUACAAUUUUGUCUUUAAUUGGCCAUCACAAAUAGUAACAUAUAAUUUUUUACUUGUAUAUAUGUGAAGCAUUUUUUAUAAUGUUAUUUUUUUACUUCUUUUGGAACAGAGCUUGUUAAUACUCAAAACAAUGUCCUGUCACUUGUAUUUUAUUGAGUUUCCAUUUGACAAGAACAAUGCUAGACUCAGUCUGAGUUUGACCAAAUUUUCUGUGUUGAAACUCAGGCUGAGUAACUACUCCCAACUCAUGAAGAACACCAGGGAGAUGAAACUGAGCUGGGCUUACCUUAAUUUCUGAUCUUUUUCUCUGCCCAAAAUUAUAUGGUAAUGCAGCUUUAAAGAGUGUAAGGAAUGGAGUAUCUAAGAAAUUUCAAGGUAACCUUACCUACUUGUUCAACUGAAUCAUCUAUUGGAUUUGGGGAUAUUCGAACUUUGGUUUUUGUAUCCCUUCCUACAUGUGUACCAUCAGCGUGGCUAAUUGCGGACAACAUUUAUUUCUUCGUCAUGUCUGUAUACCUGUAUAUAUGAACAUGAGUGCAUAUAUGAAAAAAUAAAAUAAAAUAAGUAGACUGUAUGAGUAUGUCAACAUUGUAUUUAAUUUACAUGGGGAAAAAGGGUACACUCAUCCUCUAGUCCAUUUUGGAAUCUAGAGAAGCACCCUGUAAGCUGUACGGAGGAAGAAAUCAUUUAACUACAACAACCUCCAACUAACCCUGCUACCUAAAUUCUAAACUCUUUCUUGAUUCAUUCUCAACCCAAUGACACAAACUAAAAUGUGUUGUUUCUAUCUUUCUUGGUAUUGCAGAUGAAGAACACUGAGAGGAGUACUGAAUGCCUUCAUUUGACAAGGAGCAGUCCUUCCACAGCUGUUUGGUUGGCACUGAUAUCUUUCUUCUGUGAGGACAUUGGUUGGAGCUUUUCUUUUUGGACUUGUGAAGAGCACAAUUGCAGUUCUUGUGGUAUGGUCUUCUGUCUAUCUCUAUAUCGAACAUUGAUAUGCUUCCAUUGUAGACACAUUGAAGUAGUGCUCCUGCAACUCCAGUCUCCAUUAUCUCUUUCACUCACUCGCACACGUACUGCAAUGCGGUUGUGUGUGUUAGCGAAGGAGUGAAAGAGUUGGUGAAUGUUUUUAUGUAGAUAUUUUUCAUUCGAAGUUGUGAGUGUUUAAGUAGGGACGCGGGAAUGCUCUUGCACUUGCUUCUUGGUGACAAAAUUGAUGUCUUCAAGAAAUGUGUAACCCUGGAGUGGUAAGCUAUGAAAUCAUAGAAUCGAUUUUGUCUAGAGUGCUAGUACUUUUAGUUUUCUUAAACUUAAACUAAAGAGUGAAAGGUGUAGGGAGAAGAAAAUAAAGUAAUGGACUUUGGAGUGUAGCUUAGGAAUAAAUGUGGAGGAGAGAGAAAGAAGUUAAGAUCCGACUUUGUGAAGUUUGAAAAUAAAAUGGUGUUCAUCUGUGAAUUUCAUUGUGGGAUGAAGAUCACUAAGUUUGCCUCUUAAUCCACGUUUUCUUUUCUCUAUUUUGUCUGAUUUGAUGUUUCAUUUGGAAGUGGCCCAUCACUUAGUGGUUAAUUUACUGUGUAUAAUCAUGGAUUAUUCAUUGUAAUCUCAACCUAAUGAGAUGAAUUCAUCACAUCAACAAGAUAAUCUGACUUUUUAGUCGAUUCAUUUUGUCUUAACUGCCAGAUCUUUGAAUUCCAUUCAUUUAGGUGAAAUGUAGUUUCUUGUGCAGGGGUGCAGAUAUGUUUUGCAAAUUGUCUGAAGCACUUCACCUUGGACUAGAGUAAGACUUGAACGCAAUUAACUGCUAAUUAAUUCUUUUAAUAUUUAUUGGUAUCUUUUGCAUGAAAAAUUGAGUGCUGGUUGAGGUUUUAGUUAAAUUUGUUAGACAGGUGUAGACCUUAACAUUUUGGUUUAAUUAUAGUAGUGUGUCUGGAAGCUUGUUGCUUAAGCUCUAUUAUGGACUUGAAGAAAAUGACACCAACUUGCAUGAUAGUGGAUGACAGUGAAGGACCAGUAUGAAACCUAUCUAAAUGCACACCUCUAAAAAUAAUAGUCCCAUAUAUUGUGGGGAUAUUUUUAUUUUGACUUUAUAAACGCACACCCACUGCAAAUGCAUAUUGUUUCUUGGUCCCAAGGCUGUGCAUUUAGACAGGUUUCCCUGUAUGUUUGUGAAUGUGAGAGGUUUGGAAAUGAGGGCUCGCUAGCUUGAGGGGUAGAGUUAAGUCAUGUCUAACCAGUAACCAAUUUUCAGACACAGGAGAGACUUUUCAGUGUCAGGCUGGGCUGGGCCAUGUGAUAAUUUCACAUGGACCUAAUGAAUUGCCAUGGGCUGGGGCUGGGCCAUGUGAUACAUUGCAUUAGUUGUGACGCUGAAUAGUUCCUUAAAUUCUAAAUGUUUCCGUGAUGAAUCUAACUUCAGCAGUUCAGCCAAUGGAGACUUGAAAGCUAAUUCUGAUAGGGGAGUUUAUGGUAGGCUGGAUGGGAACAAUAGACUGGCUAAAAGAAUUAGUUAAAUACCAAAAUCAUGUGGUUAAUUUCUUGGAGUGCAACAAAACCCUGCAUCUAGGUUGACGGCCUGUAAGCCCAUAUUUUAGGUCUGUGUUGUGGGCCCAAUAAGUAACACUUUGCGAACUACCACAUGCAUUGUGGUUGUGAUUUGUGAAGUGUGAGUGUGUGUGUGAGUUGAGUGAGUGAAGGCUGAUUGAGGUUUUUUGUUUUUAGCUAAAGAGGCUGAUUGAGUUUGAGUGUCAUGCAUUAGUGCAUAAUAUAGAUAAGAGCUUGUUGACAAAGUUGGAAUCUUGGAGAAGGCAAUAACUACCAAGUGAAGUGACCAUCUUUUGUGGAUCUUUCUGACUAAAAUUGAACAAGUUUAUGUCUUGUUGAUGAAGACAACACUCACAUAGACUUAGUAUAACACUUCAGGCAUAAUCGAUAUUGAAUUAUUUGCUCAUUAAAACAAAUAAAAAAUGACUUAGAUCUCCUCUUGUAAGUGUCGUGUCUAUACGUCAUAGUUACCCUUUUCUGGACUAACUUCUUGUUUCUCAUUUUCACCUGAUUUUUACUCUUCAACGACAAGAAAAGACUACUAACUACUUGAUCACUUUCCAUCAUUUUUCUUUUCUUUUCUUGAUCUUCAUCAAAACUAGUCUUAAAUUUUGAAUUAUCUUACAGAAAGCAACCUCUGAGACUAGAGAGUGUACACAGUAUUAAUCACAGAGUUAUUAAUCAAAUAAUCAAUUUGAACUUAUGUUUAGAUGUAGAGGACUUUGGUUGUGAAGUGUGGACAACAAAAUUUUCUUGGAAAUUCUAUAUAGAUCCAUAUUGUGAAUUUGACGUUUCGCCUUAAACAAAUCAGUAGAUAUGAUUUUGAAUUAUAUGAUAGGUAUAAGUAGAUAUAGACAAAAUUUUACUUGUACGGGGUUUCAUUAUUUUGACUGUUCACUUCGAGUAAAGUGGAAGAAGUAUGUCUUGUUGGAUAAUUCAAAAGUUCCAUAGACUUAGUACAAGGCCAUGGGCAAAAUCAAGGUCGAAGUAUGGAUUACCCUCAUAUUAGAAAACAAGGAAUGACUUGGAUUUCCUCAUUGCUUUGAAAGUGUAAGUGUUAGUACGACAAGAACAUACAAUUUUGCUCCCAAGAAUAAACGUUUGUUGCAUUAUAUUCCUAACCAGUAUAUGAGUGAUAGUUCAAGUGUCAUAUGAAGUGCAUUAUGUAGACAAGAUAUGUGAAGACAAAGGUGUACUUAGACUUAUAUGUUAUGUUGAUGAAAACUAUAUUGAUAUAGACUUAGGACUAAACUUUAGGUGUAAUCGAUGUUGAAGUAUGGUGUUAUAUAUACACAUUGUGAAAACAAGGGAAUAACUUCUAGUUUUCUCAUGCAAUUGUUGGCACGACAUUGCUACCCUUUUCUUGCCUAGAUUUAAAAGCUAUACAUGUAUAUAAUAUAACUUUAGAUAUUAAUUCUGGAUUCUUCACUAGUUUUCACUUUUGAGGAAAAUAUAAUAAAAUAUAUACUCCUGUGUCAUACAGUAUAUGGGCACAUAUAGGUGUUUUUGUGUAAAGUACUAGAUAUAUAAGUAGUUAGGAAACACAGUCAAAAAAGUUAACUGUUCACUUCAACUGGUACUGAAGAAAUUUGUCGGUUUGAUUAAGACAAUAUUUUCAAAGACUUUAGUAAACAGCACAAUCAAGGUUCAAAUAUGUAUUAUAUAGUCUUGGAAAGCAAGACUAACAUAAUUUCUGUAUUUUAAGUUUAGAUAUUCUUGAUUCUUCACUAGUUUUUCACUUUUCAGGAAAAACAAUAAAAUAGAAAACCCUGUGUCAUAUGACACAAUCAAUUAGAUAUGAAUCACAUAGUUGUUAUCGUGUUUAGUUAGAAAACGCAGUCGACCACGUUAUGUACAUUGAUACAGGGUCUUUUGACUGUUCACUUCCGCUAGUGCUGAAGAAAUUUGUCUUGUUUAUCAAAACAAUAUUUCAGACUUAGUAGAACAACAUAGCUGCAUAGGCACAAUCAAAAUUCAAAUAUGUUUUAUAUAUAUUAUUGGGAACAAGACUAACUUGAUGUCCUUUUUAGCUCUUUGCUUAGAAAUUGAGAGUUGGUAGGUUCACAAAUAUUCUUGCAGACAUGGUAGAACACUAAUAUUUUCAUAGACAUGCAUAUGUAGCAAUUACUCGAAAACUCAUCUUAAGUUCUUUAUCCAACGUGAUUACAUGUAGAUUGGAGUGUACUUACUGUUCUUGUGGUGGAUCCUUUACAGAAUACAAGGUUAGUAGGCUUUGGAUUUUCUACUUACAUGGUGUAAUAGACAAAAUGUAGCCAAUCAUAUUUGGUUAGAUAUCAAAUAUAACAUACAGUACAUGCUCUGGUGAGGGUGAUUGUGGCUGGAGAUUUGGACAAUGAGUAAUUCUUGGAGUCUAUGCAUAAAUAUAAAUCUUAGUUUUUAAAUAGCAAGUCAUAAACUAUAGAUUAUUAUUUAUAUUUUAAUGUUUAUAAUCAAUUAAGUUGAUUGAUCUCCACAUUAAUAGAAUUCAAACUUUGUAUCAGUGAAACAAGAAGUGUGAAGACAAACCUGUAUGUACUUAAUAGUAUCGAUGGCAUGCAUUCUUGUCCUUAACUAUAUAUUAUUUGACUGUUCUCUUGGACUAAAACAACUGAAGGAUAUAUUCUUGUCGAUUAAAGCUAAGACACUAUUUUCAUAUAUAAUUUCCUCUGCUUAGAAAUGGGAAGUGUUGCACUUUUGUCAAAUUAUUCCUUAUUGGUACUUAUUUCAUUGUCCUACUACAUAUGUACAUUAUAAUAUGUUUGUCUUGUUAAUGCCAAUAUUCUUAGUCUUCAUAGAGCACUAUAGGCAUAAACAAUGCUAUAGCAUGUGUUACACUCAUUGGAAAAACAAGGAAUAUACCGUUUUUUGUAUAUAUGAUUGAUAGUGUUUAUACGACCAAAGUUCACUCUAUGCCCAUGUUCUCAUUUAGUAUGGAAGUGUGCUGUAUCAUAUGGACCUUAAAAUAUCAUGUUUUUUUAUAAGAUGAGUUGGUUAAGACAGGAAGUGUGUAAGGUUUUAGUUUGUCUGAAAAGGCUGUGCUUAUGUAGACUAAUAGAUACCACACACGAGGCUAGUGAGCCAUGGUAAGUCCUCUCCUCUUCAGCAAACCGAGUUAUCCUAAGAAGGUAUGCCAGCAUUCAUCUUGAAGCAAUGUUUUUAGGCGGGAGAGAUUAUUUGAGAAUCAGUAAUAUGAAGACAAGGUUGCAACUUUGCGUACAGCACUUAGGCAGUCUGAAUUGUGUGUAGUAAUAACAUUGUAAACAAUAAGCAGCUUUAUUGUUUCUUAAGGAUAUGCAGAAGCUAUGGAGAAGGCAUUAGAGAAAAGGUGGGAUGUGCUAUGGAUUGAAACUGAUUCAGAAGCAGCAGCAAAAGCAGUCACUGGAAGUUCAGAAGUAAAUGUGACCAGUUAAAAAUGCAGUUCAAAUGGCUUCUGGUCACAUGUACAAAAAGGGAAGCAAACUUAGCAGCAGACUGUUGUGCUGGAAAGGGAGUCCACUUAGAUAGAAACUGUAAAAUCUGGUUUGGCUCAGACAAUCUUCCUAGUGUGCCAUUAGAGAGUCCAUACUCAGUGUAUUACAGAUAUUUUUUUUUGCCAGUGUAUUACAGAUUUUGUUUAUGUAACUGGUGCUUGCAUCUUUGUUUUUUUUUUUUUUUGAUUGGCAAGCAGGGUUGAGGGGACCCUUACCCCUUUUAAAUUACGUGUGGAAACUUCUAUCAACAAUCAGCUGUUGACGUGUUUUGAACCCACAACCUCUCCACUUUCUGAUAGGGGUGUUUGUAUCUUUCUUCCUUUUUUUUUUUUUUUUUUUUUU
rnacentral:lncRNA from 1 species